rnacentral:rRNA from 1 species
AACGAACGCUGGCGGCAUGCCUAACACAUGCAAGUCGAACGAGACCUUCGGGUCUAGUGGCGCACGGGUGCGUAACGCGUGGGAACCUGCCCUUAGGUUCGGAAUAACUCCCCGAAAGGGGUGCUAAUACCGGAUAAUGUCUUCGGACCAAAGAUUUAUCGGCUUUGGAUGGGCCCGCGUUGGAUUAGCUAGUUGGUAGGGUAAAAGCCUACCAAGGCGACGAUCCAUAGCUGGUCUGAGAGGAUGAUCAGCCACACUGGGACUGAGACACGGCCCAGACUCCUACGGGAGGCAGCAGUGGGGAAUAUUGGACAAUGGGCGAGAGCCUGAUCCAGCAAUGCCGCGUGAGUGAUGAAGGCCUUAGGGUUGUAAAGCUCUUUUACCCGGGAUGAUAAUGACAGUACCGGGAGAAUAAGCUCCGGCUAACUCCGUG